rnacentral:rRNA from 1 species
UCGCGGAUCAGCAUGCCGCGGUGAAUACGUUCCCGGGGAUUGUACACACCGCCCGUCACACCAUGAGAGUCGGGAACAUCCAAAGUCCGUAGUCUAACCGCAAGGAGGACGCGGCCUAAGGUGGGUUCGAUAAUUGGGGUGAAGUCGUAACAAGGUAGC